GUUAUGGCUCAGUGGUAAAGCACUCAUCUAGCACAUGUGAGGCCCAGGGUUCAAUUCUCAGCACAACA
rnacentral:tRNA from 1 species